GAAUUGUUGAUGAAAAAUCAUGGAUUACGUCCAACUGGUUCUGUACCAUUGCCUGAAGCAAAUGGUACUACAUUGUCUGAAGCAAAUACAAUAUCAAGACAAGGACGUGGACGUGGACGUGGACACGGACACGGACGUGUACGUGGAAUAAAUCAUGGAAGAAAUAAUCAACAAAGUUAUCAACAACAAGGCAAUAAAUUCAAAAGGCACAAAGCAAACGAGAGUGGCAAAUCUAAAAAGGAGCAUGAAGAAAGUUGCUUCAGAUGUGGAAUGAAAGGGCAUUGGGCACGUANGACUAUAGUCCUCCCCAAAGCCCGUUAUGAGUGGAUGCACCUUCGUUUGCAAGACUUUAAAACGGUUAGUGAGUACAAUUCUGAAUUGUUCAGAAUAUGUUCAAAGUUGACUUUGUGUGGAGAAAAAAUCACCGAUGAAGAUAUGCUGGAAAAAACUUUCUCCACCUUUCAUGCCUCGAAUGUGCUCCUGCAGCAGCAAUAUCGUGAGCGUGGCUUCAAAAAGUACUCAGAACUUAUAUCUUGCCUACUAGUUGCUGAACAAAAUAAUGAAUUGUUGAUGAAAAAU
rnacentral:lncRNA from 1 species